AUUGAACGCUGGCGGCAGGCCUAACACAUGCAAGUCGAACGAGUGGCGGACGGGUGAGUAAUGUCUGGGAAACUGCCUGAUGGAGGGGGAUAACUACUGGAAACGGUAGCUAAUACCGCAUACCAUCAGAUGUGCCCAGAUGGGAUUAGCUAGUUGGUGGGGUAACGGCUCACCAAGGCGACGAUCCCUAGCUGGUCUGAGAGGAUGACCAGCCACACUGGAACAGAUACACGGUCCAGACUCCUACGGGAGGCAGUAGUGGGGAAUAUUGCACAAUGGGUGGAAGCCUGAUGCAGCCAUGCCGCGUGUAUGAAGAAGGCCUUCGGGUUGUAAAGUACUUUCAGCGUGGAGGCGUUACCCGCAGGAGAAGCACCGGCUAGCUCCGUGCCAGCAGCCGCGAUAAUAC
rnacentral:rRNA from 1 species